GUGAAGACACCAAGGAGUGGACACUGUCGACUGGAGAAGGGAAGUGAGGUCUUGCAACUUGCGAAGGCUACGACUGCAUGGCUGAUGACGUACAACGACAGCAUCAGGACAAGGCAAAGGCAUGGUUGUGAGUAACUAAAGAUUUUAGGGUUCGUUAAGGCUUCAUCUAGCUAGCUUUUGGUCUAGGGUUGAGGUUGAGGGAACGAUGGCAAGGAGGGUAGAACGAACGAAAAGCAAACAAGGAGGGCAGAAGGAAGCGAAAGGAAGAGGUAAGUCUUCUUUGCAUGUGAGAGCUUGGGAGAAGGGAAGCCAUAAUCUGAUGAGA
rnacentral:misc_RNA from 1 species